rnacentral:rRNA from 1 species
UACGGGGGGGGCAAGCGUUGUUCGGAAUUACUGGGCGUAAAGGGCUUGUAGGUGGCCAACUAAGUCAGACGUGAAAUCCCUCGGCUUAACCGGGGAACUGCGUCUGAUACUGGAUGGCUAGAGUGUGGGAGAGGGAUGCGGAAUUCCAGGUGUAGCGGUGAAAUGCGUAGAUAUCAGGAGGAACACCGAUGGCGAAGGCAGGUCUCUGGGCCACUACUGACGCUGAGGCGCGAAAGCGUGGGGAGCAAACAGG